GCAGUGGGGAAUAUUGGACAAUGGGGGCAACCCUGAUCCAGCCAUGCCGCGUGUGUGAAGAAGGCCUUCGGGUUGUAAAGCACUUUCAGCUGUGAGGAAAGGCGAGUGGUUAAUACCCGCUUGCUGUGACGUUAACAGCAGAAGAAGGACCGGCUAACUCCGUGCCAGCAGCCGCGGUAAUACGGAGGGUCCGAGCGUUAAUCGGAAUUACUGGGCGUAAAGCGCGCGUAGGUGGUUCAGUCAGUCAGAUGUGAAAGCCCCGGGCUCAACCUGGGAACUGCACCUGAUACUGCUGAGCUAGAGUACGGUAGAGGGUAGUGGAAUUUCCGGUGUAGCGGUGAAAUGCGUAGAGAUCGGAAGGAACACCAGUGGCGAAGGCGACUACCUGGACCGAUACUGACACUGAGGUGCGAAAGCGUGGGUAGCAAACAGGAUUAGAUACCCUGGUAGUCCACGCCGUAAACGAUGUCAACUGGCCGUUGGGGGACUUGAUCCUUUAGUGGCGAAGC
rnacentral:rRNA from 1 species